rnacentral:lncRNA from 10 species
UGAGACCUUGGUGUUUUAUGUCCUACUGUAAAUAAUUAUAUCGAUUUGAAUAACAUCUGGAAAAAUCUUGAAGCCCUUUACUUGAAAUGAUUUUAUGAACAGGCACUACAUUCACUCAACCACUUUAGUAGUGUCACUAGUGUGAUGAAAUGUGGCUGUGAAAGACCUGAGAACAUAAUCAUUUGGAUAGCCAGACAGCCAAGGCUGGAUGGCAGCAAUUGGAUAUGUGAUCUUGGACCUGAGUAUGAAGCCAAUAUCGGUGAUAGAGGUAACAAACACACGGAAUUGUGAGUCUCAAGAAAGGUCAGAAAUGAGAGGAUCAGCAUGAGGAACAAGGACAAACCAUCCAAAUCAAGGGAAGAAAGC